rnacentral:rRNA from 1 species
GACGAACGCUGGCGGCGUGCUUAACACAUGCAAGUCGAACGGAAAGGCCCUGCUUUUGUGGGGUGCUCGAGUGGCGAACGGGUGAGUAACACGUGAGUAACCUGCCCUUGACUUUGGGAUAACUUCAGGAAACUGGGGCUAAUACCGGAUAGGAGCUCCUGCUGCAUGGUGGGGGUUGGAAAGUUUCGGCGGUUGGGGAUGGACUCGCGGCUUAUCAGCUUGUUGGUGGGGUAGUGGCUUACCAAGGCUUUGACGGGUAGCCGGCCUGAGAGGGUGACCGGCCACAUUGGGACUGAGAUACGGCCCAGACUCCUACGGGAGGCAGCAGCGGGGAAUAUUGCACAAUGGGCGGAAGCCUGAUGCAGCAACGCCGCGUGCGGGAUGACGGCCUUCGGGUUGUAAACCGCUUUCGCCUGUGACGAAGCGUGAGUGACGGUAAUGGGUAAAGAAGCACCGGCUAACUACGUGCCAGCAGCCGCGGUGAUACGUAGGGUGCGAGCGUUGUCCGGAUUUAUUGGGCGUAAAGGGCUCGUAGGUGGUUGAUCGCGUCGGAAGUGUAAUCUUGGGGCUUAACCCUGAGCGUGCUUUCGAUACGGGUUGACUUGAGGAAGGUAGGGGAGAAUGGAAUUCCUGGUGGAGCGGUGGAAUGCGCAGAUAUCAGGAGGAACACCAGUGGCGAAGGCGGUUCUCUGGGCCUUUCCUGACGCUGAGGAGCGAAAGCGUGGGGAGCGAACAGGCUUAGAUACCCUGGUAGUCCACGCUGUAAACGGUGGGUACUAGGUGUGGGGUCCAUUCCACGGGUUCCGUGCCGUAGCUAACGCUUUAAGUACCCCGCCUGGGGAGUACGGCCGCAAGGCUAAAACUCAAAGGAAUUGACGGGGCCCCGCACAAGCGGCGGAGCAUGCGGAUUAAUUCGAUGCAACGCGUAGAACCUUACCUGGGUUUGACAUGGAUCGGGAGUGCUCAGAGAUGGGUGUGCCUCUUUUGGGGUCGGUUCACAGGUGGUGCAUGCCUGUCGUCAGCUCGUGUCGUGAGAUGUUGGGUUAAGUCCCGCAACGAGCGCAACCCUUGUUCACUGUUGCCAGCACGUUAUGGUGGGGACUCAGUGGAGACCGCCGGGGUCAACUCGGAGGAAGGUGGGGAUGACGUCAAGUCAUCAUGCCCCUUAUGUCCAGGGCUUCACGCAUGCUACAAUGGCUGGUACAGAGAGUGGCGAGCCUGUGAGGGUGAGCGAAUCUCGGAAAGCCGGUCUCAGUUCGGAUUGGGGUCUGCAACUCGACCUCAUGAAGUCGGAGUCGCUAGUAAUCGCAGAUCAGCAACGCUGCGGUGAAUACGUUCCCGGGGCU